rnacentral:rRNA from 1 species
AAAAACAUCUUUUCUUGUUAGUUUCUGAAGUAUGGCCUGCCCGCUGACGUAUUUUGAGUUGAAGGGCCGCGGUAUUUUGACCGUGCAAAGGUAGCAUAGUCAUUAGUUCUUUAAUUGUGAUCUGGUAUGAAUGGCUUGACGAGACAUGGGCUGUCUUGGUUAUGAAUAUAUUGUUGAAUUUGGAGUUUAAGUUAAAAUUCUUAGAUGUUUUUAUGGGACGAGAAGACCCUAUAGAGUUUGACAUUUGAUUGCGUAUUUCUUGUUGUUUGUUUUGAAUUUUUGCGUAUCUUUUGUUUUGUUGGGGUGAUGGGAGGAAUUUAUUUAACUCCUCUUUUAUGUGGUAUACUGAUUUGUAUUUGUUUUGAUCC